UCGAAAACCUCCAAAGGAUUCAUCUAAGUUUUAAAAAAAGUUAACAACAAAACAAAGGGUUAGCAUUCACAAUGACCAAAAUAAUAACGAGAAGACAAACAUAAAUAAUAAAUUAUAAAACUGAAAUUUCGGGAGCUGAAAUGUCGAUUUGUUACUUCGUCGAUUUUGGUUUUUAACCCCCAUUUCAUGCUUCUUGCUUAGCUGCUGCCGGGAUUACUAUAUAAAUUGGACUUGAAUCAACAAUUUGUGUCCCUUUGGGGACCUGUAGUUGCUGCUUCAGGUUUGGCCUUUUAAGGCUACUGCUGCUGUUGCAUUUUUUGGGUGUUUAAACCCAAUUUUUGCUCCUCAUUUGAGCUAUUUGGAGCUGUUGUUGCUGCUGAUUUUUGGGUGUUUAACCCAAUAACAUGACUCCCUUUCACGACUCCGAAGAAGGUUGACACAAGAAGUGGAAUAAUGCAAGAGAAGUGGAGUCCAUUGAACUCGAAGUGCUCAUGCAGAGUAGAGAAAAGGAAGAAAAGAUAAGAAUUAGAAUCAAUCAUAAAUAAUAUUAAUCUAAGCCAGUGAACAUUCAAAACUAGAUAACAUAUCUCAAAUAAACAGUUUAAGACACAAAAUGGAAAGGAACUUUAAAUGAGCUCACAUUAAAAAUCAAAAUGAGACCAACAUCUAUUUGAGAAGCAAAGAAACCUUGAGAUAAUUUGAAUUACACGGGGCAUUUAAAAAGAAAACAAAUCGACUAGACCUAAAAGAGAAUAAUAUCUAACAUAAGAACAAACAAGAGGCUUCUUAUCCAUUUCCGAUAUAAUUAAGAAAACUAAACUAUAAAGAGCAAAUCACCUGUAUUUAAGAAACUAUUAAGACGAGAAAUAAAAUACUAGAACCAAAGUUUUGAAUCCAAUUACCCAACUUACAUAUUUAAAGCUUUCAAACCAGUGAGUUGUUGUUCAUUACACAUAACAAAACUAAGCAUCUACAACAGGAAUUAACGCAGAACAGAAACUAUACAAAGCAAGUAUAGAUGGCAUAGAACAUGCUACUUAACAAAAUAAAGAGGUUUAUGAUACUAACCCAUAUAAAACAACAAAGAAAUCAUACUAUCAAAUAUUAAAACGACAUGCAUAUCCUGAAGCAUUUAAUUCAAAAUCUAACAGAAAGGAAAGCAACCCGCAACUAAGAGCAGUCAAAUGCUAAAGUCUAGGGGAAAAAACAUGGUUACGUAAUAUCGCUAAGUAUGCACAACUAUGGAUCAAAGAAGCUAAGGUAGGAAGUAAGGACAUUUUUCAUAUCAAUAGCAACCAAAAGUUUUGAAGACAAUAAGAAAGCAACCCAACAACUAAUUUUCACCUUAAUAUAACAAAACAACAGUUGCACAACCUAGUAUUUAUAAAACAGAUACAAGAAAUCAGGCUUUGGCAAAAGGCGAGGUGAUAAUCUUUAUGCAGAACACAACAACUUAAGGCAAAAAAAAAAAACAACUAUAUAGCACAAAUUUCCAACCGAAUAGAGAUAAUAGUAAGUGGAAACACAUGUAUGGAUUUAUGAACUUGAUGAAAUAAAGAAUCACAUUGGCAUGGAAAAUAACUUUCAGCAGAGCAAAACAUUUGAACUCCUUCAAAAUUUACUUAACUUUAAGAAGACUUCCACUGUCAUUCACACCACUAAUCAUAUUGAAUCUAAACAAAUAAAUAACGAUACUUGACAAAUAACAACUCUAGAAUGCAACACUGAGAAAGGGCAAGAAGAUUACCUGGUUCUGCGCAGCGACGAGUCUUCCAAGACGACUCCACCUCUUCAACUCGAAAGCCACAAAACGCUUUAAAAUUUUGAACUAUGGGACCAAGAAUUCCCAAAAUUUUAUGGGUACUCUUUGGUCUCCGAAAAUCCUCUCCUAAAUCAGUGAAUGAAGAGGGUUUAUAUAGGGCCACUUCUGGGUUGGAAUUGAGGGGGAAAAUGAUGUGGGAAUGCCUCACGAUUUAGAACUCUUAAUGGAUAAGGUAGAGGGAGCUGGAAUUCGUACGAAUUCUCAAUAGAUUGAGAACCAAG
rnacentral:misc_RNA from 1 species